rnacentral:rRNA from 1 species
UGACCUCGGAUCAGGUAGGAAUACCCGCUGAACUUAAGCAUAUCAAUAAGCGGAGGAAAAGAAACCAACAGGGAUUGCCUUAGUAACGGCGAGUGAAGCGGCAACAGCUCAAAUUUGAAAUCUGGCUACUUUGUAGUCCGAGUUGUAAUUUGUAGAGGAUGCUUUUGGUGAGGUGCUUUCUGAGUUCCCUGGAACGGGACGCCAGAGAGGGUGAGAGCCCCGUACAGUUAGCAACUGAUCCUUUGUAUAGCUCCUUCGACGAGUCGAGUAGUUUGGGAAUGCUGCUCUAAAUGGGAGGUAUAUCUCUUCUAAAGCUAAAUAUAGGCUAGAGACCGAUAGCGCACAAGUAGAGUGAUCGAAAGAUGAAAAGCACUUUGAAAAGAGAGUUAAACAGCACGUGAAAUUGUUGAAAGGGAAGCGCCUAUGACCAGACUUGUUUCUAUCAGUUUUGGUAGUUUUCGGACUGCUUUACUCUGUUAGUACAGGCCAACAUCAGUUUGUUGUCGGGGAGAAAGGCUUAGGGAAUGUGG